UGCCAGACUCCUACGGGAGGCAGCAGUGAGGAAUAUUGGUCAAUGGGCGCGAGCCUGAACCAGCCAAGUCGCGUGAGGGAGGACGGCCCUACGGGUUGUAAACCUCUUUUGCCGGGGAGCAACGGGCGCCACGUGUGGCGUCACUGAGAGUACCCGGAGAAAAAGCAUCGGCUAACUCCGUGCCAGCAGCCGCGGUAAUACGGAGGAUGCGAGCGUUAUCCGGAUUUAUUGGGUUUAAAGGGUGCGUAGGCGGAUCUUUAAGUAGGUGGUAAAUUGGGGGGACCCACCCCCUCCCCGCCAUUGAAACUGGCGUUCUUGAGUGGAAGAGAAGUAUGCGGAAUGCGUGGUGUAGCGGUGAAAUGCAUAGAUAUCACGCAGAACCCCGAUUGCGAAGGCAGCAUGCCGGCUUCCGACUGACGCUGAAGCACGAAAGCGUGGGGAUCGAACAGGAUUAGAUACCCCAGUA
rnacentral:rRNA from 1 species